rnacentral:rRNA from 1 species
AUGCCAUGGGCGCCUGCCUUGGAGCUCCCCUGCCAUGGACCUGAUCUGGCCGUCAACUCGCCACCCCAUGCGUGCUCCGGAUCCGGCCGAUCCCGCGCCGCUCAUGCCCUGGUGGCCCUGCUGACAUCGUCGCCUAGGAAGACCACCAUGCCCGCUGCAGGAGCUUCGAGCCGGAUCUGGCCCCUCUCCGACCUCCCUCGCCGUCCUUCAUCCGUUCCCGAUAUCCUCCCGGCGCCAGGAGCUCAGGCGAGCGCCGCCACAAGACCCUGCCUCCUCUGCCCCGUAGCCCGCCAUGGAGGUCGCCGCCUCUCCCGUCUCGAUCCGUCUGCAGCCGGAUCCACGGCGGAGCAGCCGAGAUCCGCCGCCCGUUCCGCGACGCCUCGGCCCGCCAAGGCCAGCGCCGAGGCCGACAAGGCGCGCAGGAAGACCAAGGCCCUCACCAAGCAGCGGGAGGACUUGCGGGCUAGGCUUGCCUACCGCAAGCACGCCCGCGAGCUCACCUCCAUGCCGGCCAAGGCCACCGCUGCGACGCCAGUUUUUUUUUACGAAUAG